AUGGUAGAUGAUGGACUGGAAUGGGGUACUACAGGCAGUGAGUGGAGUUUGCAACAGAGCAGGUACCAGACCUGUAUUUGGUUAUUGGUCACAGAAAUGGAGAGAGAGCGAGAGAUAUCUCCAAGGCAGGAAGCCCUUUGCCCCCUAAGUAGCAGGACUCUUAAAGUCUUCAAACUUCAAGGCAGAAUUCACUGUAUAGGGAACUCCCCCAUGUCUCCCUCUUGGUUUCAGAGACACCUCUGCUGGCGCCCUCUCUCGUCCCCGUCGCUAGCCCCCGCCUUCUUUCUCAGGAAGCUUGGGUCUCCCUGGGAGCGGGUCUGCCCUUGGGGGAGGGCUCUCGGCUCUGUGCCCUACCGCUCGGCUGACAUUCGAGGCGGACCUAAGAGGGGCUCGGCACCCCCCGCGUGCACAUGUGCUAGCCCAGGCGGGAGGGAGCGCCUCCGCGGAGGAGUCCAGGAAGAGGGGGAGGGAGAGGCGCGCCAGAAUCUCGGUCCCGGGCGCCCUGGUCGGCCGCGGAGGAGCUGCAGCCUCCAACAGGUUCGUAGAACGCGCGCUCGCUCUCUGUUGCUGAGCCGGCACCUCCUCCGCUGGAGCAGGUUCGCCGGAGAGACCCUAGCCAUAGGCCCCGCGCUGCGGAGCUCCCUGAGGGCGGCUUCCUCCCUCCUUCCUUCUCCCGGUAGCUCUCAGCCGCCGCCGGCUCUUCCGGGGCGAGGCGAAGGGCGCCGGGGCUCCUUCUCGCUUCAGCACCGCCCUGGGGACAGCUCCCGCUCCCGGCGGGGUCCUCUCCCCGGUCAGCACUGCACAGGCGGACAGCGGCCGCCCGGCCGGCUCCUCUCCUCGUUGGGUCCGGGUUCAGUACCACGGCCCGGCCGCCGAGGACAGUCCCUCUCCCCCGCGGGCUCCGCUCCCCGCGUCAGCACCGCGGCGGCGGACAGCUCUUGCAGACAACCUGCUUCCCCGCGAGCCGCGAACAAAGCCGAGGGGCUGGGGCCUCCCGCGUUGCUCGGGAGUGGGUGGUUGCAUCCAUGGGGGAUUUCGGCUUCCCCCAGAGCGGUGUCGGGACGAGCUGGGGAGGGGGGCCUAGUCACAACCGCGCGUCUCUGGCUUGGGUCUGCAGUUCGCAAGGCCUGGCCGUGCAAUGGCGGGUCCCAGCUGGAAGUCAGAAAGAGGGUGGGAGGGGAGACAGGCUCAGAAGGGUCCCGGGCUCCAGUUGGGCGGGCUGGGCCUAGGCUAGAAAGAAGGAAUGCGCCUCCUCCUCUACCCUCCAGACCCCUACCUCCACCCUAG
rnacentral:lncRNA from 1 species